rnacentral:lncRNA from 1 species
CACGAAGUGCAGAGAUUCGCUAACAUCCUGCCCACAGGCUUCCCCCAUGCGAAAACCACAAAUAUUUUAUUUAAAGAUUACUAUACUCCAAAGCAAAAAGUCACAUCAAGUGUUGGUGAUGACCAACAAGAGCAACAAGUCAAAUAUAAUGAAUCUCCAAGGACAGAAGUGGUGGACAAAGAUUUUAAGAGAGGUCGACACUGGCCUGAUCCAUGGUGGUUACGUGACUGUGUAUUCGUCUUAUGGUCGCGUGAGUGGCCAAGUGGCUUCCGGAAGUCCUUGCGAUUAAUCCCCCUAAGAAUUUUACACGAUCACAUUUCCUGGUGACGUGGAGGUAAGACCCAAGAGUCCAGACCCAGCCAUUCUCAGAGACUUCUUAGUAUUGAGGAUGCCCAAGUUUCACUUUAGAUUCACUCCCAGAACACUGUGAAUGGGAAAAGAUUCCUCAGGCUCCUCACCUGAUGAGGUUCUGCUUGCAUCAGGAAACCUGUGAAGCAAAUUCAACAAGACUUCAACUUACUGCUUUUUAUAAGAGAGAGACAUCUGUUUAAAAGAAAUCUAUAAGCAUGUUGUAGGCAAUUAACAGGAAGGUUGGAUACGUGUUUUAAAAAUAAUUUUUACUUAAAGGAGAUAAAAUUAACCCAAAUAUAUUUUGAUUAAAGGAAUUAAAAUGACUUGCAAAAAUGCAUUUUUGACAGAAAGGAGAUAAAACGAGGAUUGUGCCUAUUCUGCUUUUCUGAGACGACAGGACAUCAGAUUUAAAAUCCUAAAUCGAAAACAAACCAACAUGACAGGUUCUAAAGAAAGUAUUCGAAGUUCCUACUGCCAAGGGGAACCUACUGGUCUGUGAAACCUCUUCAAAGACUGUCCGGGAGUAUGGAGCACCUCAGGACUUUGACCUUUAGGAUGGAUCUUUAUCACAAGAAGUGGGCGUCAUUUGUAAGGAAUUUAAAGAAUGUAUUUACUUAUCUAUGAAAUGUUGGGAAAAGCUAGAAUAAGCCUUUUCUUUCAGGAAUUCAGAAAAAGAGUCAAUGAAAACCAUUGGUUUGAGUUCUAUAAGAUUUCUUGUUGUAUGCCUUCAGCUGUUUUUUCUUAAAUAAAAGACUAAAACCUGGUUAGGAUGAAAGUGAACCAAUCAAUAACAACAACACUGAUAAUAAUUAUAGCUAACUUUGAGCAUUUAUUGUAUGCCAAGCAUUGUUGUAAAUAUUUUUCAUUUAACUUAAUCCUAGGAAAAAGCCCUUUGAGGUUGAUAGUAUUUAUUGCCUCUAUUUAACCAACAAGGACACAGAGGCACAUAGAUAUUAAGCACUUGCUGAAAGUCACCCAGUAAGAGGCGAAGCGGUUUUGAACCCAAGAAGCUGAACUCCAGAGCUGGCCUCCACAGAGAAGGCGACCAAAUGAUGCUACCAUUUGGGUCAAUGUUAAUAAGGCUUUUCUUGUUGACCAUAUUCCAUGCUCAAUCAUCUGGGGCAUAUAAUGACUCACAACCAAAUUUAUUCAGUCAGGUGUGAAAUUUGUCUGCCAAGAAGUUUAACCUCACAUAGGAGCCAGGCAGGUUGUUCGAGGAAAAGAUAACGCACUUUCCAGGGCCUAUAUUACCUGUUCUCCCUACCAAGCAGUUUUGAACACAGGUGAUGUCAGGUGCUGAAUUCCUCUCUCACAUGAGGAUCUCACAGGCCUGAGAAUGCUAGUGGUGAUUCUCCAGCCAACAGGCCCUCAGGACUAGGGACAUCAAGGGGAUUGUAGUACUUCUCAUAACAGGAGUCAGAAAACCCAGGAUGCCCCCAGUCAUCUCCUGAUCCCAUAGAAGUAAGCCCUUCUAAAGCCCACACCCAAAUCUCUAAGAGAGAGAUCAUCAUAUUAUUAUCUACUUGGUAAGCACAUGCAAGUACUAGCCGUGUGACCUACACAAGCCACAUGACUUCUAGGCGUAGGUUGGUUCAUCUGUAAAAUAGGGACAUGUCUUAAGUAUCUUGUCUGCCAAGAGGCAAGACGUGUAUCAGAGGAUGUUUGAAAGCAUUUCAAGCUCUAAACUGAAAAUAAGGUGCAAAGAGGGAGAAGCCGCAUGGGGGGCACUGUCCAACAGUUUGCUCCUCAACAGCCAGAGGCGCACUCUGCCCCACACAGAUGUCCCAACCAGGCCACGCGACUAAAGAGUUAAUAAAGAUAGUGUUUAAUAAAAAAGAGGAAUAAAAAAAUGAAAACAAGUUUCAAUAGCACCAGGAGAGAUUAUUUCCAACAACAUCAGAAGAGAUGUAUAUUCAAUCCAGUCUUGACCACAAAUGUUAUUAACAAAAAAUUAUGGGUAAGAAUACUAUAUACAACCAUUUUACGGCAAACUAUACAUUUCUAUCUACCUUUAGAUCACAAGAUUUAUCUGCAGUAUUUUAAACAUUAAAAUAAUUAAAAAUUUCAGAUUAAAAGCAUUCUUACUGGACUAAAUUAAAUACUUUAGGGCAUUUCACCUUCAAAGCUCAGUCUUCUGUUCUCCCGCCCCCCGCUUCUUUACCUAGCUCCUCUCUUUGCUUCCUAACACUUAAAUGUGAAAAAAAGGGAAAAUGUGCACAUCAGAAGAGAGUAAAAAGAAAAGACCUUGUUCACUUGCUGCUGUUUUAAUUUUCCCAUUUCUUUGUACUUUGUUUUUCAGCUUUUAAAACAAGCCUCUCCCCCAUCCACUCCCACCCCCUUUGCAGAGAACAGACCUCAACUUCACUUCUGCUUUUAGGCCUCAAAGAGAAAGGAAGGAGGCAGAAAGAUCAACUGAGGCUUGCAAAGUGAGUGCUAACAACAGAUUUUCUUAUUUCAAAACUCUCGCAUUCUGCCAAUUUGAAAAUACCUUUUCUUCUCCUCUUCUGAAUGGCUUAGGUCCCCAAACCGUCACAGUAUUUGAGCCACAAUGGAGGUAUUAUGUUGCUUACAGUUCUUCAGUGGGGAUUGGGUGCCAUCGUCUGCCUCCCAGAAGCGUUGCGCCAGCCUCUCAAAAGGUUCUUGCUGUUGGUUAAUUACAGGUUGGAGUUCCCGGAAGAGCAUUUUCUUUUCUUAAGGAUUAUCGCUCAUUCACCAGCCCGGAGCAUUCCUCAGGCUCCUCUUUCCUGUUUAAUCUCCUCGGGGAAUCAGGUCCUUGGGGACCGUAAAAGGAGCCUCUCUCCGCGGCGUGGACAAGGGGUGCCUCUCUCUGUGUGCCGGGAGAGCCCGGGGAUCUCCCGCGCUCCCGGCGCCCCAUAGUCUGCCUCACUCCCUGUUGGUGCGAAAAGUGACGGCGGUCAUGGAGCACUCCUUGGUCCGUGUGGUCAUGCAGCCCUUCGUCCACGCGGUCUGCAGGACUUCUUCCGUCACGUGAUAAUCCACGACCCGCACAAGCACGGAUUUCGGUGGGGCUGCGGCGACUCGCGGCGGGGCUCCAGAGGCAGCAUCUAAGUCUAUACCCCUGCCAGAAAUUCCCUUUUCUUGUGGAAAGAGGGGAGAAGGGCAGUCGAGUUCCCGAUCGUCUCCGCCUGUCUGGGAAAGAUCCUCUCCACCGGCCACCUCUUCCCGUGCAGGGUCCUCUCGAGUCCCCAACCACCUCUCAGGGUGCAGAAGAAAGAGCACUUUCUCUCUGACCCAGGACUCACGAUCCACGUUCUCUCCGGCCCGGCGGUCCUCGUGGGCGCCGCCCCGGCUUACUCUCGUCCCCGCCGCCGUGGUUUUCGGGGCGUGCGGGGACAGGGGAGCCCCGCGCCCCACUUGGCGCGGAAAGGACGCAGCGCGCCCCAGGCUGCGGGGAAAGUCCUUGAGAUUCGUACCUCCGCGGGGACGCGGCGCCCCCAUCCCGCGCUAUCCGAGUUUCCAUUCCCACCUUCGGUUUUGUCCAGAGCUGAGGCACCAAACACACCUUUCGCACUGCGCCCGCUGAAAUGCCCAAGAUGACGUGCGUCUUCUUUCCAAGGUCACUUCUCCAAGUGUAGGAACAAGGAAGCCUCGUUUUUAAAAAAUUACUUGAUUUAGUCAAAUUCUUCUGAAAAGGGUUUUGUAUCCACCCUCACCGUGCUGCCAAGAUCAUCGAAUGCAGAUGGAAGGAUUGGAUUGGAAAAGUGGAAGCCUUAAAGAAAAUGGCUUUUGGUUUGUUGUUCCUCCUUUGGAAGGCCAGACGCUGUGGGACGGUGGGCACACCUGUCCUCAUCUGGGUUCUACUCAUUGCCUAUCCCAGGAAGGGGCUUAGUGCCCUUGAUCAAACAGAAACGAAACAAACAAAAUCAAAUGGCUCAGUGUACUUUCUCGGGAUUUAAAAUUUUGUGUUCACGUCGUUUUUAAAAGUUCCCCCUUUACUCCCAUCCCCACCCCCGCUCCCCUUAUCGUUAACUGCAGAGGUUAAAAAAGGGUAUCUCUGAUAGGCUUUUGAAAUCUACUCAUUGCCAGGCCCUCUGACACACCAACCUGCCUGCAGUUCAUGCGGAAGGCUAGCUAAUAGAAAAGGAAGGCCUUAGUUUGUGAUUUCCAGUACACCCUUGGGAAAAGGUGCUUGUUUUAUUAGAAAAUGCUCAGCUUUCCUGUCUGAUGUAGCAGAAUGACUGCCAUGGUGGAAAUUUCUGUCCAUAUAGGAAGGACCAAGCAGUAUGUGAAAGAGCUAUUUUGGAAAGAGAGGAUCUUCUGAUAUCUGCCAAGUCUUGUAUAUAUUUUUAAAAAGUGUAGGAGGAGUGAGAGAAUUUAGAUCAGAUCUGGCUGAGUGGAUGCCUGGCCUUGGGCUGGUUGCUGCUAAAUCAUAAUUAAUUAAAGUUUUUCAGUGUUUUAGACAAGAAUUGUUCUAAGCACUCAGUAUGUUUAAACAUUUAUUCUUCACAACAAACUAAGGAAGUGGUACUCUUACUACAGUCUCCUUAAGAACUUUGAAGAACAGGGAGGUUAUUUGCGCAAGGUCAAGCAGCGAUAAACAGGGAGCCAGGAUUCUGACAUAAGUGCUUCCUCCUGUUUUCAAUUACUUUCCUAUUUUAAGCCUGUGGCUUCAUGUUCUUUUCUGUUCAUGUAGUUAAACAGUAAUCACUGAGUGUGUGCUAAAGGUCAGCCACUCUUCUAGGUGAUGGGGACAUCUGGGG